rnacentral:rRNA from 1 species
CCCUUAGAUGUUCUGGGCCGCACGCGCGCUACACUGUUCGACGCAGCGAGUCUUAACCUUGACCGAAAGGUUUGGGUAAUCUUCAGCAAAGUCGAACGUGAUGGGGAUCGAUCAUUGCAAUUAUUGAUCGUGAACGAGGAAUUCCUAGUAAGUGCAAGUCAUCAGCUUGCGCUGAUUACGUCCCUGCCCUUUGUACACACCGCCCGUCGCUACUACCGAUUGAAUGGUUUAGUGAGAUCUCUGGAUUGACGCUGGCUAGGGGGCGACCCUUGGCCAGGCUGUCGAGAAACUACUCAAACUUGAUCAUUUAGAGGAAGUAAAAGUCGUAACA